CAAGUAGGAGUCAGGUUUUAAACCUAAUGGCUCUUUCAUGAUUAUAUGAUAGGUGGUGCAUGGCCGUUCUUAGUUCGUGGAGUGAUCUGUCUGCUUAAUUGCGUUUCAAAAUUUAACUUGAGGACCGGGUUUUGGUUUGGCUAGUGGUUCUACGAUGACUGUGAACUGUCAUGUCUUCGGAUGUGCGACUAUUGGUCUAGGAUCACAUGACUUGCCCCUGGGACUCUUUUGAACGCAACGGACGUGAUUGCAACCCCUUGUUGAGAUUAGAGAUAGUCUCGAUAUUCACUGGACAAACUGGCUGCUUUAUGCAGUCUUGUUGAAUGG
rnacentral:rRNA from 1 species